rnacentral:tRNA from 1 species
GUUCCUCUAGCUCAAUUGGAUAGAGCGUUGGCCUCCGGAGCCAAAGGUUCCGGGUUCGAAUCCCGGGGGGAACG